CCUACGGGAGGCAGCAGUCGAGAAUCUUCCGCAAUGGACGAAAGUCUGACGGAGCGACGCCGCGUGCGGGAUGAAGGCCCUUGGGUUGUAAACCGCUGUCAGAGGGGAUGAAAUCUUCGGAGGUACUCCUCCGAAGUUGACAGAGCCUCAAAGGAAGCACGGGCUAAGUACGUGCCAGCAGCCGCGGUAACACGUACUGUGCGAACGUUAUUCGGAAUCACUGGGCUUAAAGGGUGCGUAGGCGGCGAUUCAAGUCAGAUGUGAAAUGCCUGAGCUCAACUGAGGCAUUGCGUUUGAAACUGAAUUGCUAGAGUAUCCUAGGGGUGUGCGGAACUGCCAGUGGAACGGUGAAAUGUGUUGAUAUUGGCAGGAACACCGGAGGCGAAAGCGGCACACUGGGGGAUAACUGACGCUGAGGCACGAAAGCCAAGGGAGCGAACGGGAUUAGAUACCCCGGUAGUCUUGGCCGUAAACGAUGAGCACUGGGCGGAGGGGUUCCUUUCUGCCGUAGCGAAGCGUUAAGUGCUCCGCCUGGGGAGUAGUGUCGCGAGCGNGAACGUAAGUAGAGUAGUACGGCGUGAGACGUGACGACGGACGACGACGAGGGAGGAGG
rnacentral:rRNA from 1 species